GUGGGGAUCUUAGNCAAUGGGGGCAACCCUGNUCUAGCCAUGCCGCGUGAGUGACGAAGGUCUUAGGAUCGUAAAGCUCUUUCGCCUGUGAUGAUAAUGACAGUAGCAGGUAAAGAAACCCCGGCUAACUCCGUGCCAGCAGCCGCGGUAAUACGGAGGGGGUUAGCGUUGUUCGGAAUUACNUGGGCGUAAAGCGCACNGUAGGCNGGACCAUCAAGUUGGGGGUGAAAUCCCGGGGCUCAACCCCGGAACUGCCUUCAAAACUGGUGGUCUGGAGUUCGAGAGAGGUGAGUGGAAUUCCGAGUGUAGAGGUGAAAUUCGUAGAUAUUCGGAGGAACAUCAGUGGCGAAGGCGGCUCACUGGCUCGAUACUGACGCUGAGGUGCGAAAGUGUGGGGAGCAAACAGGAUUAGAUACCCUGGUAGUCCACACCGUAAACGAUGAAUGCCAGUCGUCGGGUAGCAUGCUAUUCGGUGACACACCUAACGGAUUAAGCAUUCCGCCUGGGGAGUACGGUCGCAAGAUUAAAACUCAAAGGAAUUGACGGGGGCCCGCACAAGCGGUGGAGCAUGUGGUUUAAUUCNAAGCAACGCGCANAACCUUACCAACCCUUGACAUGGAUNUCGCNGGUUACCGGAGACGGUUUCCUUCANUUCGGNUUGAUAUCACACAGUGCUGCAUGGNUG
rnacentral:rRNA from 1 species